rnacentral:SRP_RNA from 10 species
GCCGGGCACAGUGGCGCGUGCCUGUAGUCCCAGCUACUCGGGAGGCUGAGGUGGGAGGAUCGCUUGAGCCCAGGAGUUCUGGGCUGUAGUGCGCUAUGCCGAUCGGGUGUCCGCACUAAGUUCGGCAUCAAUAUGGUGACCUCCCGGGAGCGGGGGACCACCAGGUUGCCUAAGGAGGGGUGAACCGGCCCAGGUCGGAAACAGAGCAGGUCAAAACUCCCGUGCUGAUCAGGAGACAGAGUUUGUGAGCAGACAACUGGUCUGACCAAAAUUUAUGAGGUGGGAAUUUCCUCU